UACAGAGGUGGCAAGCGUUGCUCGGAAUUACUGGGCGUAAAGGGCGCGUAGGCGGAAUGGCAAGUCGGUCGUGAAAUCCUUCGGCUCAACCGAAGAACGUCGAUCGAAACUGCCGUUCUUGAGGAUUGCAGAGGAGACUGGAAUUCCCGGUGUAGCGGUGGAAUGCGCAGAUAUCGGGAGGAACACCCGUGGCGAAGGCGGGUCUCUGGACAGUUCCUGACGCUGAGGCACGAAGGCCAGGGGAGCAAACGGG
rnacentral:rRNA from 1 species